AGCGAACGCUGGCGGCAGGCUUAACACAUGCAAGUCGAGCGGGCCCUUCGGGGUCAGCGGCGGACGGGUGAGUAACGCGUGGGAACGUGCCCUCUGGUCUGGAAUAACCCUGGGAAACUAGGGCUAAUACCGGAUACGCCCUUUUGGGGAAAGGCUUGCUGCCGGAGGAUCGGCCCGCGUCUGAUUAGCUAGUUGGUGGGGUAACGGCCUACCAAGGCGACGAUCAGUAGCUGGUCUGAGAGGAUGAUCAGCCACACUGGGACUGAGACACGGCCCAGACUCCUACGGGAGGCAGCAGUGGGGAAUAUUGGACAAUGGGCGCAAGCCUGAUCCAGCCAUGCCGCGUGAGUGAUGAAGGCCUUAGGGUUGUAAAGCUCUUUUAUCCGGGACGAUAAUGACGGUACCGGAGGAAUAAGCCCCGGCUAACUUCGUGCCAGCCGCCGCCGUAA
rnacentral:rRNA from 1 species